rnacentral:rRNA from 1 species
UACGUAGGGACCGAGCGUUGUCCGGAUUCAUUGGGCGUAAAGAGCUCGUAGGCGGCUGUUCAAGUCGAACGUGAAAACUCGGAGCUCAACUCCGAGCCUGCGUUCGAUACUGGACGGCUAGGGUCUGGUAGGGGGAUCUGGAAUUCCUGGUGUAGCGGUGGAAUGCGCAGAUAUCAGGAGGAACACCGGUGGCGAAGGCGGGAUCCUGGGCCAGUACUGACGCUGAGAAGCGAAAGCAUGGGGAGCGAACAGG